ACAGAGGGUGGAAAGCUGCAGACAUGUCCCACUUUCACCUCGGUGUCAGAGCACUCAGUCUGUCCUCCUAAGUGACUACAGAACAGUGGCAGUGAGAGUCAGUGGGGAAACAGUGGUUGUGUUCUGUACUAGAGACUAGGAGGGGUGUGGUGCGGCGUGGUGCGGUGCCGCGUGGCGGAACAACGACGAAGAGCCAGCAGGGUCACAUUCCACAGGGAGCUGGUUGGCAGACGGAGGGGCCCGCUUGGAUCAACUCUACAACACUGUUCCUCUCGGCUGUUCCUCUACAGGCACGCACACACACACACACACACAGAUAUGUGUACACACAGACAUGGUAUAUCUCACUACACAGUGUGAUUGUGACAUGUCCAGCAUUCACUGUAUCUGUGGAGUCACAUGAUACUAAGGAAGCUCUUUGUUGGAUAAUACUUCCUUUGGAUAGGACGCCUACAAAGACUUUACAGAUGGUUUGUUGAAACUCAUGUUCGGUCUUUCUAAUUGUUCACUGAACAUCACCUUAACCAAAACCCAACCCCUAACACUAACCUUAACCAUACAUUGUAGUUAAGAGUUUUCAACAGAUUUGUUUAUAAUCUGUAGAUAGUCUAUAGGGGGCCAUCCAAAUAAGGGAUGAUCACAUUGGGACAUGUCUAACAUUCACUGGGUCAUCACGACCUGAAGGAAGCUCUUCUUUGUGUAGUCACACACUCUCGCCUGGUAGGUUUGUGUAAGUGUGUGUUCAACAGGAGCCCAAACAUGACCUGAAAAAGGGGGACAGUGAGAACAUCACACAGGUGAAAUGUCACAUGAAGAGAACACAACAGAGUUUAAAGUACGACAUGUGUGUUUUCUUUUUAAAUUCUCUUUUUUUUUAAUCAUUUAAAUAAUUGGAGAGGCCGCCUAAUUCCCAAAUGAUCUCAUAUCCCCUAUGUUGGCGACUCCACCUCUCUCCUGGUGGGAACUAAUCCACUUCGGCUAUUUGGCUAUUAAUGAUAUCAUGGCUUCACUCAACACCGGGCUGUCAUUCAAUACAAUACAAUACACACACACUGGAGCAAAAUGAGGCGGAUGACACAUUCACCGCUGGAUCACAGACGGUCUCCCAUGAAGUCGAUGUGAAAAGUGGAGGCACCACGUAAUCCUGGAUGUCCUGCCCAGGGUAACAGGAAGACACAAACACUCGUCUCCAAGGUGACGUCAACAGUGUGAAAACAGCCGUGGAAGCACGAGAGGAAUUUUUCAGCCCGGCCACAACACUGUGCCUCAGUCCUUCCUUCUUCCAGAGGUUGUACACACAGCUUCACCUCUGUCUUUCAUUAAAACGUCUGGCCUGAACACUUGACCAAAACAGAUGCUGCAAAUGAGCAAACCCUAAAUGAAGUGCAAAAGAUGGAGGUAUGGAUGUUAUCGAAUAACAAUGCAUUUGUUUGCAAACACAUACAACAAACGGGCUUUCAGUGUUCCCA
rnacentral:lncRNA from 1 species